rnacentral:rRNA from 1 species
CAGCAGCCGCGGUAAAACGGAGGGUGCAAGCGUUAAUCGGAAUUACUGGGCGUAAAGCGCACGCAGGCGGUCUGACAAGUCAGAUGUGAAAUCCCCGGGCUUAACCUGGGAACUGCAUUUGAAACUGUCAGGCUGGAGUCUUGUAGAGGGGGGUGGAAUUCCAGGUGUAGCGGUGAAAUGCGUAGAGAUCUGGAGGAAUACCGGUGGCGAAGGCGGCCCCCUGGACAAAGACUGACGCUCAGGUGCGAAAGCGUGGGGAGCAAACAGGAUUAGAUACCCCUGUAGUCCCUGUCUCUUAUAC